GACCACUCUGGUGGCCUAGUGGUUAGAUCGUCAGCCUUGGAUGCAGGAGGUCAUGGGUUCAAUCCCCGGUCAAGUCA